UACGUAGGUGGCAAGCGUUAUCCGGAAUUACUGGGCGUAAAGCGCACGCAGGCGGUCUUGUAAGUUUGACGUGAAAGCUCCCGGCUUAACUGGGAGAGGUCGUUGAAGACUGCAAGACUUGAGGAAAUGAGAGGGGUGUAGAAUUCCUGGUGUAGUGGUGGAAUGCGUAGAUAUCAGGGAGGAAUACCAGUGGCGAAAGCGGGC
rnacentral:rRNA from 1 species